rnacentral:rRNA from 1 species
UACGUAGGGUGCAAGCGUUAUCCGGAAUUAUUGGGCGUAAAGAGCUCGUAGGCGGUUUGUCGCGUCUGCUGUGAAAACUGGAGGCUCAACCUCCAGCCUGCAGUGGGUACGGGCAAACUAGAGUGCGGUAGGGGAGAUUGGAAUUCCUGGUGUAGCGGUGAAAUGCGCAGAUAUCAGGAGGAACACCAAUGGCGAAGGCAGCUCGCUGGGACGGUACUGACGCUGAGACGCGAAAGCGUGGGGAGCGAACAGG